ACAUGCAAGUCGAGGGUAUAGUUCUUCGGAAUUAGAGACCGGNGCACGGGUGCGUAACGCGUAUGCAAUCUACCUUUCACAGAGGGAUAGCCCAGAGAAAUUUGGAUUAAUACCUCAUAGUAUAGCAGUUUCGCAUGAAACCACUAUUAAAGUCACAACGGUGAAAGAUGAGCAUGCGUCCAUUAGCUAGUUGGUAAGGUAACGGCUUACCAAGGCAACGAUGGGUAGGGGUCCUGAGAGGGAGAUCCCCCACACUGGUACUGAGACACGGACCAGACUCCUACGGGAGGCAGCAGUGAGGAAUAUUGGACAAUGGGCGCAAGCCUGAUCCAGCCAUGCCGCGUGCAGGAUGACGGUCCUAUGGAUUGUAACUGCUUUAUACAGGAAGAAACACUACUUCGUGAAGUAGCUUGACGGUACUGUAAGAAUAAGGAUCGGCUAACUCCGUG
rnacentral:rRNA from 1 species